UAUUUUCACACUCUUCUGGCCAUCGAUAUUAUCACAGACACAUGCAGCAUAGGUUCUUGCAUACCUUAUCUUAUGCAAUUAUUUUUCUGUUCCGUAAUACACCACAGUGUGCAAUAUUUGCUGGUAAUAUUUCCAUUGUGAACAUUUGGUUUCUUAUAGUUAAAUUGGGCAAAGAUAAUGAAGAUGGGCUUUUUUGUUGUUUUUAAAAGAAAUUGUUUAAAACUGCAUCUCGAGUUUUUCAAAAGUAAUUAUAAUAAUACUCGUAGCUGACCAUCGAGUUUAUCGAUGUCGUUUUGCCCGGAUACUGAAAAUGUUUCGGACGAAAAUCGGCGGAACGGGAC